CCUACGGGUGGCUGCAGUGGGGAAUAUUGCACAAUGGGCGCAAGCCUGAUGCAGCCAUGCCGCGUGUGUGAAGAAGGCCUUCGGGUUGUAAAGCACUUUCAGCGGGGAGGAAGGCGUUAAGGUUAAUAACCUUGUCGAUUGACGUUACCCGCAGAAGAAGCACCGGCUAACUCCGUGCCAGCAGCCGCGGUAAUACGGAGGGUGCAAGCGUUAAUCGGAAUUACUGGGCGUAAAGCGCACGCAGGCGGUCUGUCAAGUCGGAUGUGAAAUCCCCGGGCUCAACCUGGGAACUGCAUUCGAAACUGGCAGGCUAGGGUCUUGUAGAGGGGGGUAGAAUUCCAGGUGUAGCGGUGAAAUGCGUAGAGAUCUGGAGGAAUACCGGUGGCGAAGGCGGCCCCCUGGACAAAGACUGACGCUCAGGUGCGAAAGCGUGGGGAGCAAACAGGAUUAGAUACCCCUGUAGUC
rnacentral:rRNA from 1 species